rnacentral:lncRNA from 1 species
GCGUAGAUGCUUAGGCAAUCGAGUAGACCGCGAGUAAUUUGACCCAACGCGUGCCCUAUAUGUAAUUAGGUCAACGUUUGACAUAACGGUAUUAUUAUAGUAGAUACUUUGUGUAAUAUAGGACACGCGUGGGGGCUUAGUGUGCUCAUAAUAUAAAAAUGGUUAUAAUCGGAUCGUGUGUUGGAGGUAACAGUGACUGUCAACAGCUGAUAAAAAAAGUAGGACGUGGAUGACUGAUAAAAAAAAGUAAGUAGGAAAAAGUAAAAUAUAUACAAAAUGAAAAGGGGGUGGAACAUGUAACAGGAAAAACAGGAUUUUACCACAACAGUGCCAAACAUAGUUGUAUUGUUUAAAGAAAAUAAAUAGUAUUAACUCUGUUUGGACAUCAAGAGACUUAUCGUUUAUCGAGAAAAUAUAUGAGAAUAAGUUUUUCAUAUACUUUUUUAUAUGUUU